rnacentral:ncRNA from 2 species
CUAUUUCAUUUAAAGUUUACUCGUAUAUAUUCGGGAUCAGGCCUGAAUGUUUCUACCCGAGAACCUUAAUUUUCGGACUACGAGCAAAAUGAGACGAUAA